rnacentral:lncRNA from 1 species
UCACUAUUACAUUGUGAGAACAUUCAAACUGCCCUAUGGAGGAGCCCAAAGGGUGCAGACCUGAGACCUCUGACCAACAGUCAGCAGGGAACUGAGCCCUGCUGCCCACAGCCAUGUAAGCGAGCAUGGAAAUGGAUCCUGUAGCCCUGGUCAAGCCUUCAGUGUCUUCAUUGAUUCUCGCCACACUUUCUGGAAUAAGAAGAACACAUGUAAUAAUUGUUGAUGAGAACACUGAUGGAUAGAACAUUGUAUAUUUCUCUAGGUCCUAUAAUCUGAUCACAACUUAUUGAGUAAGUACUCAAAAUAGAUUGCCUUACUUCCGUCUUAUUAUUCUUUUUAAAACAAAGAGCUGGCUCUCAUCUAGCUGACACCUCACUCUUAGCAGACUGUAUCAGUACUUUAACUUUGGGUGUUCCCCAGCAAGGAAUGAGAGGGGCGUCAGGAAACUACACUCGCUCACUUCUAUCCUUUAUUUCAAACGAUGCUGCUGAUUUAAUCUCCUUCCUUCCUUCCCUUCCUCCCUCCCUCCCCACCGCUGCUGGGGGUGGGGUAGGGGCUGAGCCCCGAAUGCCAUUGCUGCCCCUGUAGCCUCUGGUCUCCCUGUCUGUAUGCUUUUUGAAACCUCAAAUCAAGGCACCGCUGCCACUGCCAGGGGUGUUUGUUUUGGAUGCAGCACCCCCUGCUAAAAGGACCAGUGCUGGAGUCACUGUUCCACCAGGGGAGGGGGUUGACGGUGCCCUGUAGUUCCACUGCCUCCGGGAGGUCCAAAUUGAUGCAGGCUCAGCUAGCAGAGGAGUUGAAAGGAAGAUUUCUUCAACUCUCAAGGUCUGAUAGUAGUGCUCUUUUAUUCAGAGAAUAGCAUGGGGACAGGACCCAUGGGGAGUGAAGAGCUGCAAUGGUUUGAGGGUAUAAGGCAUAGGUAUGUUAGUCAUUUCUUUUACCAGACAAAGGAAAGAUCAUGUACAAGAAAGUUGUUAAAAUGGUAUCAGUGCAGGUGGGGUCUGGUUAUCGGGUGGUCAUCUAACUUUAGAUACAAAUCAGGUUGAAUCAUGUCAGGACGUCCUAUACUUCCCAGAGGAUGAUAUAGAUCGGGGUACGUAGGGCAGGACGUCUUGGGCUUCUCUCCCUGGGGCAGCCUUCAUCCGCAUCACAACUCACCCACCUUCAGAUAUAGAGAUGUAUGGAUGUCUCCAGUGUUCUGGUGAGCUGUGCGGGCUGUCCUUUCUUGGUAAUGGAUGUCCUAGUAGUUGUAACUUGGGAGAGACAAAGGGAACAACUCACUCCACCAUCACGCUGAGGUCUCUUCUAUCCGAGUAGAAUUCUUAUGCAAGUUGAUGGGAAUAUAAAUUAGCAAAAUCUUUUUUCUCUUUCUUUUGCUGUAGUUAGUACGGAUGAACACACGUAUAUCUUAUCUAGCAAUUUACUGCUAAGUAUAUAUUUAUUUGUUCACCAAAGAAAUGCAGUCAUUUUUCCUGGCAAAAGGCAUAUUCUGAAUUUUCAUGGCAACACAAUUAGUAUUAACCAAAAUAUUAAAACUACCUAAAUAUCCAUUAACAGUAGGAUGAAUUUAAAAAAUGGAUAUAUUCAGACAAUGAAAUAUUAUACUAAAUGAGAAAGAGCUAUAACUACAUGCAGUACUGAUGAAUCUCACUAAAUAUAGUAAGGAACAAAAGAUGCCAGAUACAAGAUAGCCCCACAUUUAUAUAGUAUAAUGUAUAAAAACUAGCAAAUUGGUAUUCACUCUCAGAAGUUAGGGUCGUGGUCAGUCAGGCAGGGUUGUGAGGAUGACUAGAAUUGGAUAUGGGAAGGGUGGACUUCUGGCUUGCUAGAAGCUGAUUUCACAGAAAUGUUGUUUGCAGGAAUUUAUCAAACUAUAUACCAUAUGUAUUAGGUUCUUUAGAAAAUGGAACUAAUAGGAUGUACAUAUGGAGGGAUUUAUUUUAAGAAACUGACUCACACAGUUGUGGAGGCUGGCAAGUCUGAAAUCUGCAGACAGGCUGGCAGGCCAGAGACCCAGGGAAGAGUUGAUGUUACAGUCUUGAUUCCAAAGGCAGUAUUCCUUCUUCCUUGGGAGAUCUCAGUCUUUUCUUUUAAGGCCUUCAACUGAUUGGAUAAGGCCCACCCACAUUAAUAAGCAUAAUCUGCUUUACUCAGAACCUACCAAUUUAAAUGUUAACUACAUAUAGCAAAUACCUUUGCAGCAACAUCUAGACUGACGUGACCAAACAAUUGGGUCCUGUAGCCUAGCCGAUUUGACAAAUAAAAUUAACCACAACAGGCCACCCCUCAUCAACUUGGAACCAUGCACCUCUCCUUCAAUCAUACUUAAUGUCUAAAUAAAUACAAUAAUAAAGUCAUAAUUCCACCUAACAUGAUACAACCAUCCUACAUACAACUGAAAACACAGACUCUUUCCCCAGAAGAUGAUGGAAAGUCCCUGAGAGAUGUUCACUCUUCUUAAUAUCCAGUAACUUAAAUACCGUGAUGUAAAAUCAAUGCAUCUUAUGUUAUAUGAGGGAAUAAAAGAGAAGAAAACAAAGAUAUUUGUCAUACACACACACACACAAUCAUAUUCAUAACAGAGUAAGAAGCAAGUACUCAUAACGGUGACAGUUCUUGUUUCUGUAACUGGUCAUAGGUCAUUUAUAAUGCCUUCUCCUACUACCCACUCCAUAUUAUGUUUUCCCUCAGCAAGCACCUCAGCUGGUCAUGAUUCUUUACCUGGCGAGGUGACUCAAACCUUCAUUCCUGAACUCGUCAUAGGGAAACUCCCCAUGAGGCCAUAGGUGCAGGCUGGGAGAGAGGGGGAUAAAGAAGUAGGGGUGAUGGACACUUGAGUCACUUCUUCAUGUAACUUACUUGUGCCUACAAGGCCUGCUUAGUCCAAUCUCAUAUAUACCACUUGCAUUUGAUGACGGGGUGCUGCUAUGCAUGUCCAACUUUAUUGCUUGAUGGGUCAAACAACAUCCAGUUCAAAGGGACAGCUCAGGUCUCAUGGCAACUCUGCGGCGUGCAGUAAGCCUCCAGUCUCUAGUAGGACCCAGUAGCAGGCCAAAAGCUGUUUCUCAAAAGGAGAGUAGUUAUCCACAGCAUGGCAGGGCUUUGCUCCACAAUCCUUUAGGGUCUACACGGUGAUUGACCUGCCAAUGCCACUUCAAGCACCGUUAGAUCUGCUGGAUCAUAUGACACAAGGGGCAGAGCAGCUUGCACAGCAGUCUAGACCUGUUGCAGAGCCUUCUCUUGUUCGAGGCCCCAUUCAAAACAAGCAGCGUCUGGGGUCACCCAGUAAAUGAGUUGCGGUAGCGUACCCAAAUGAAGAAUACGUUGCCUCCAAAAACCAAAAAGGUCCACUAGGCAUUGUGCUUCUAUUUUGGUGUAGGAGGGGCCACAUGCAACAACUUAGGCUUUGCGUUAGAAGAUAUAUCACGACAUGCCCCACACAACUGGACCCCAGAAAUUUAGCUGAGGUAGAAGCCCCUGAAUUGUUGUCAUAUUUAUUUCUUACUGUUUGUCACGUAAGUGCCUUACCAAUAAGCCUGGACUGGUUGCUGUUACUUGCUCACCAGGUCCAAGCAGCAUAAUAUCACCAGUGUGAUGUGCCACAGGUCCUCACGAACUAAAUUAUGACAUUGGGCUGGAGAGUUGUUAUACCCGUGAUGUAAGACAGUGAAGGUGUAUUGCUGGCCUUGUCUGCUGGAAUCUAACUGCUCCUGAUGGUAUUUACUAACAGGUAUGGAGAGAAAAAGCAUUUCCCAUAUUAACACAGUCAUGUGUUACUUAAUGAGGGGGAUAGGGUCUAAAAAAUGCAUUAUUAGGCCAUUUUGCCAUUGUACAAACAUCAUAGUGUGUACUUACACAAACCUGGAUGGUAUAGCCUACUACACACCUAGGGUAUAUGAUACUAAUCUUAUGGGACCACUGUUGUAUAUGUGUUCCAUUGUUGACCGAAACAUCACUAUGCAGUGCAUGACUGUAGCUGCAUCCCAGAUACCAGAGGAUGUGUUGAAUCAAUCAAGUAAUGAAACUGCCUCUGGCAUAGCAAAUGCAAUUGGAGUCACCACCUGAUUAAGCAUAUAGUAAUCUAUUGUCAUUCUCCAAGGUCUGUUUUCUGCAUGAGCCAAACAAGUGAGUUGAAUGGAGAUGUGGCAGGAAUCACCUUCAAGUCCUUGGUGAUGGUGCUAAUCUUUAUAAUCCCUCUGGGAAUGCAGUAUUGCUUUUGGUUUACUAUUUUUCUAGGUAGAGGCAGUUCUAGUGUGGCUUCCAGUUGGUCUUUCUCACCAUAAUAGCCCUCAUACCAUGGGUCAAAGAACCAGUGUACGGGUUCUGCCAACUGCUGAGUAUGUCUGUUCCACUUAUGAAUUCCAGUACUGGGAAAAUAACCACAGAAUUAGUUUGGGGACCCACUAUAUGACAAACCUGAGCUAAACCUCCAUUGAUCACCUGACCUCCCUAAACCCCUACUCUAACUGGUGGACCACAGUGACAUUUGGAGUUUCCUUGAAUUAGUGUCAGUUCAGAGCCAGUGUCCAGUAAUCCCAGAAAGGCUGAUUAUUUCCUUUCCCCAGUGUAAAGUCACCUUGGUAAAAGGCUGUAGAUCCCUUUGGAGAGGAUUGGGAGAAAGAUUAAUGGUACAAAUUUUUGGCAGCAUAGCAAGGUCCUUCCUCAAGAGGACACAGCCUCCCCUUCAUUCAGGAGGAUCUGGGUCUGUAUCCUGGCUCAAGUAUGGAAAUUGAUUGAUUGACCGUGACUCUGUUUUUGUGAUUCAAGUUAGACUUUAGUUCACUUGACCUAGAAGUCUUCCACUUAUAUAGACCAAGUGAAAAUUCAGUAGACUGUCCAUCUCUUUCACUUCUAGGAACACUAUGAUCAGCCAGCCAGUACUAUAGGUCUCUGCCUAUAAGACUGUCCCAAUUGCUGCUUUGGCUCUGCUGUCCUUAUGAUAACCAAAACCACCUUGCCUUUGGUGAUUAAGUGCCCACACUUGGCCCCUGCCACCCUGAGAGUCAAUUAUCCCCAUUGCAUUUAGGUAUCCCAAUUCAGUGGCAGCAGUUCCCACUAUAAUUUCUGACCUGUACAAAACAUUGAUCACAAAGCUCUUCAAGGAUGCUGGGGAUCCCCUCACAAAUUUAUUUCUCAUCGUCAUGUUGUAAGGUGUAAACACUGGAUCUUCCAGGGGUAAGUGAGCAGGUCCUACAUGACAAAUACACUCUAACAUUUCAAUUUCCCUAAGCCUUUGGAUCCUUUUACCAUAUACCAAGGCAGUUCUGGCAUUUCAACUUAAUUUAUCAUAGGCCACCUUUUGGUCCGUGUUUUAAGAAACCAAACUGUUAGAGCCCUUUCUAACCUUUUAGGCUGCUACGUUAAAUUCGUAAUCUCUGCUUAGUAAGCCCAUAUCAAUAAAUUCAGCCUGAUCCAACUUUAUAUUCCUUCUACCAUUAUCCCACAUCCUUAUCAUCCAUUUCCACACAUAUUCCCUGGAUUUUUGUCUGUAUAAAUUGGAAAAAGCAUGUAGUUCUUCUGGAGUGUAUCACACUUCAUGGGUUACACGAUGCACCUCAUCAUUCAGGGCCUGCUGGGACUUGAGUCUAGUUACAGUUCUAAAAGCAAAGAGGGAUGGUAGUCAGGGGGUGGGAUCUUGAAGAGAAUCAGCAGUGUCUUGCAAGGCAAUUAUUUCAGGGGAGGCCAUUAUAGUUUUCUCAGGUAAAGCAGAGUUAAUCUUCUUAGACAGGGAUGCAAUGACAGCUUCUACUGGAAAAGAUGACUCAUCAGAAUUUAGGGGUUUAAUGUUUCUGAUUUCAUCAGAAACUUACCAUAUGUCCCCAUUCCCAUUUUGAGAAUUCCCUUCUAUCUCAAUCAAUGCCCUUAAUUUAGCAGCAGAAUUCUGUAAGUUUGGGAAUACAAUUUGAAUUAUACUUUAACCACUCUUAGGAUGAAGCUCUGGGUUUGAUUUUCAAUAAUCUCAGCUCUGCAGCUAUAGGAGAUAAGGGUAUCUUUCAGGGCAGCCAUAAAAACUUUCAGGUCAUUUAAGAGGUGCUUGAGCUGAGUAUUUGAAUCCCAAGCUUUUUCUUUGCUUUCCCUACUUUGUCCAGCACAAUCAGGAGUAACCAACCAAUCUCAUUAUACUCAUUAGUCUGACCAAAAAACUGUUCUAAGGCAUCAAAUACACCAUAUUCCAACAUUUCUGUGUACACACAUACACACCUCCCCUCUCUUUCUGUUAUAUAUACCUAUGAAACUUCAAUAAAAAGAAAUGUUUUCAAUUCUUUUAUUUUUUAAGGACAUAACAAAGUCUCUUUUGGUCCUUGAGCAUUGUGUGAAGACGUUAUUUUUGAAACUGCUGCAGCCAUCACGUAACUAAGAGGGAGUGAGACUUCACGGGUGGAAAGAACCUGGAUCCUUGAUGACACAGUUGAUUCAUUGAAUCAACCACCCAUCAAAUGCCCAAUCCCUACACUUGAUGAGGAAGUUGAAAUCAAGACAAACAAGUGAUGUGGUCAAGGCUAAACAGUUGGUUAGUUGCUUUGAAGUCAAACCCAUGGCCCUAUUCCUAGUAAUGAACACUUACUACUAGGCUAAUAACUUUUGCUUAUCCUAGAUAAGUUUUCUGUCUUUGGUGCCUAGUCUAGAGAGAAGAACCGGCAGCACCUACUAGAAAGAGAUGAAUGUCAUGCUAAUUUUAUAUGUGACCACGGGUCAGUCACUUCCCCUCACCAGGAAAAGAUGUCUUUAUCUGUAAAAGAGAUGAUUGAAAUAAACUAUCUUGAAGGUCUCUUUUAGUUUUAAUAUUCAAUGAAUUUUGAUCCCUUUUAUUCCAUUUAUACCUAAGGAAAUAGCUAUGAGAGCUAGAAGGGACCUUAAAGGUAAUCUUGUCUAACACUGCAAUAAUCCUUGUCUAACACUACAACCAUCCUCGUCUAACACUAGGAGAGAAAAUGACUUCCCUCAGGGUCACAUGGUCAGUGGAAGGACUCUGGCAUAAACCCCAUUCUUUCACCUAGCAGUCCAAGAUAUCUUCCCUCAUACCUACAGCAACAACUCAGCAAUCGCCUUGGUGAGUUUCAGGGGUUAUUUUAUUAGACAUGAUUGUAACUGAUUUAACAUUCCCUUUAAGGAAAAGUAUUCUACUAGGUUACCUUAUUUUUAAAGUGAAACAUAGAUAGUUGAUAUUUUGGACACUGUAUUAGGAAAGACAAAGUCCCAUCCAACUGCAGCUGUUUCUGAAUUUAUAAUCAAAUCAAAGCCUUUGGAAUCGAAUAUAGUUUUCUUUUGGAAAAAUACAACUUAGGGGGCACAAAGUGCACUGCACUUGAAGUCACCGGGUACGACUUCUAAUCACAGAACUCUCUGAGUUCCAGUUACUUGACUUUAGGCUUUAUUUUUGACCUCACUAAAAAGAAAAAGAAGGUUAGCUUAUCAACCUUACAAUGUGUUUUUUAAGAGUAGAUGAGAUAAUGAAUGGCAAAGCAGUUUGUAAACUCUGAAGCCUUUUGCAAAUUUCCUAGGAAUGGAGUUAUCAUUUAGAAAUUAAAGCAAACUCUCAGAAGCAUUUGAUACUCAAGUCCAAAAUAUGAUAUACCCCCAUAAAGUAAAUUUAUGGUAAACAGACUGCAACAUGGGUUAGAUUUUCUUGAGUGUCUGAAUGUAAACUUUAAGGAAAAUAAUUGUGGCCAAAAUAAAUAAAUCCUUUUUCUCAUCUGUUAUUCUAUAAAUUCAAAAUAUGGGAGGCACAAAAAUAUCCAUUUAAUCCCAG